rnacentral:rRNA from 1 species
GGGCUCACACAAGCGGUGGAUGAUGUGGCUCAAUUCGAAGCAACGCGAAGAACCUUACCCGGGUUUGACAUGCUAGGAUUAGUUCUGUGAAAGCAGAAUGACACGGCUUGCCGUGGAACUAGCACAGGUGCUGCAUGGCUGUCGUCAGCUCGUGCUGUGAAGUGUCGGGUUAAGUCCCUUAACGAGCGAAACCCUUGUCGCUAGUUGCCAGCGCGUAAUGGCGGGCACUUUAGCGAGACUGCCGGUGUUAAACCGGAGGAAGGCGGGGACGACGUCAAGUCCUCAUGGCCUUUAUGCCCGGGGUUGCACACGUCAUACAAUGGGAUGGUACAAAGCGACGCAAGACCGCGAGGUGGAGCAAAUCGCAGAAAACAUCCCUCAGUUCGGAUUGCAGGCUGCAACUCGCCUGCAUGAAGCUGGAAUCGCUAGUAAUCGCAUAUCAGCAAUGAUGCGGUGAAUGUGUUCCUGAGCCUU